GAUAAAGCAUUUAAUGAAAAUGAAUGAAUGAAUGAAUAAUGAAAUCCAAACAAAACAACAACAACAAAAAUAAAUUAAAGGUAAAUCCUUUAAUUUUGAAACAAUAGUAAGGUUUUUGGUAGGAUGACUUUUUGUGAUGCAAUCCAUAUCACUUAAUAUAGAGCAACCCUUUAAAGGAAAAUUGUAUCCUCCAACGUUCAUAGUGUGUCAGUGAGUAUUAAAUGCGUCACAGUGCACUUUACACACAGACAGACAGACAGACACACACACACACACACACACACACAGAGAGAGAGAGAGAGAGAGAGAGAGCAAGAGAUGCACCCCUUCCAGAGUAAUAAUAUUAGGGUUGGCCUGACUACUUUACUAAACAUGUGAUCACGCUUUGUCGAUGCUUACAGCGUCAGUGCCGCUUCACAGAAGCAGAACAUCUAAAGCAGCACAGCCGACUAGUAGGUAAGCCAAGAUGGACCUGAAGGACCAGAGCGCUCAAAUGGAGCCGCUGCUUCCCACGGUAAUAACACCUUCCCGAGGAAGAAGUGUGAGAGGGGAUGAGGAGGCAGUGGUGGACAGAGGAGGCACUCGCUCCAUGCCGAAGGCCAAUUUAGAACAAGAGGAGCUUGAAGGUCAUAGAACAUUGUAUAUCGGGGUGCAUGUGCCUCUGGGACGCCGAAGCCACAGACGCCACCGCCAUCACGGCCACAGACACAGAAAGAGGAGCAGGGAGAGAGACUCAGGAGUGUGUGAUGGACAAGAAUCACCUGCAUAUGACACACCCUCUCAGAGGGUCCAAUUUCUGCUUGGAACUGAGGAUGAUGAUGAAGAGCACAUUCCACAUGACCUCUUCACUGAGCUGGAUGAAAUUUGUCUGCGCGAUGGAGAGGAUGCUGAGUGGAGGGAGACAGCUAGAUGGCUGAAGUUUGAGGAGGAUGUGGAGGAUGGAGGGGAGAGGUGGAGUAAGCCCUAUGUGGCCACACUCUCUCUGCACAGCUUAUUUGAGUUGCGCAGCUGCAUCAUCAAUGGCACAGUGCUACUCGACAUGAGGGCCAAUUCCCUAGAGGACAUUGCAGACAUGGUCUUGGACCAACAGGAAGCAUUGGGGGAGCAUGGUGAGGAGGUGAGAAAGAAAGUCCGAGAGGCUCUGCUCAAGCAGCACCACCAUCAAAACCAGAAGAAGCUGGCCAACCGUAUUCCUAUAGUACGCUCUUUUGCUGACAUCGGCAAGAAACAGUCCGAAUCUAACUCUAUGGACAAGAACGGCCAGAUGAUCCUUCCUCAGACCCAGCCUAGUGCACCUGACCUCAAGCCAGAGGUCACAAGAGACUGCAGUAGUGUGGAUUUCAGUAAGAUAGACCUGCACUUCAUGAAGAAGAUCCCUGCUGGAGCUGAGGCCUCUAAUAUCCUGGUAGGAGAGCUGGAAUUCUUGGAGAAACCUGUAGUGGCAUUUGUACGUCUCUCACCUGCUGUACUUCUCAAUGGCCUGGCAGAAGUUCCCAUAACCACCAGGUUCCUCUUUAUUCUUCUUGGGCCUCUGGGUAAAGGACCACAGUACCAUGAGAUCGGCAGGUCCAUCGCAACCCUGAUGACUGAUGAGGUCUUCCAUGAUGUUGCAUAUAAAGCUAAGGACCGCAAUGAUCUGGUGGCUGGAAUUGAUGAGUUCCUCGACCAAGUAACAGUUCUACCCCCUGGUGAAUGGGACCCGUCUAUCAGAAUCGAGCCGCCAAAAAACGUCCCUUCUCAGGAGAAGAGAAAAAUCCCUGCUGUCCCCAACGGAGAGCUGGCAGAGACUGAGGAACAUGGGGGGCAUGGAGGCCCUGAGCUACAGCACACCGGGAGGCUGUUUGGUGGGUUUAUUCUGGAUCUAAAGCGCAAGGCACCACAUUACCUAUCUGACUACACGGAUGCCAUCAGCUUGCAAUGUGUGGCUUCUUUCCUCUUCCUCUACUGUGCCUGCAUGUCUCCUGUCAUCACCUUCGGAGGACUGCUGGGGGAGGCCACAGAGGGACGCAUUAGUGCUAUCGAGUCUCUAUUUGGUGCAUCGAUGACUGGAAUCGCUUACUCCCUGUUUGCGGGCCAGCCUCUUACAAUCCUUGGCAGCACUGGUCCUGUACUGGUUUUUGAGAAGAUUUUAUUCAAAUUCUGCAAGGAGUACGGAUUGUCCUAUCUAUCUCUGAGGACAUGCAUUGGCCUUUGGACUGCUUUUCUCUGUAUGCUGCUUGUGGCUACUGAUGCCAGCUCACUCGUUUGCUACAUCACUCGUUUUACAGAAGAAGCCUUCGCCUCUCUAAUCUGCAUCAUUUUCAUCUAUGAGGCUCUGGAGAAGCUGAUCCACCUCGGCGAGACCUACCCUAUCAACAUGAACAACAACCUUGAGAAACUCACCACCUAUUCUUGUGCUUGUAUAGAGCCUGUGAACCCCAGCAAUGCCACCCUGCAGUAUUGGGAGCAGAACAACAUCACAGCAUCAGAGAUCUACUGGGAGGCUCUGGAAGUGCAGGACUGCAUAGAGAAGAAGGGGGUGUUUGUGGGCUCAGCCUGUGGGCCGCAUGGUCCCUACAUCCCUGAUGUACUCUUCUGGUCUGUUGUGCUCUUCUUCUCCACUGUGGCCAUGUCUGCAUUCCUUAAAGAAUUCAAGACCAGCCGAUAUUUUCCCACCAAGGUCAGAGCAAUCAUCAGUGAUUUUGCUGUGUUUAUUACCAUUCUGACCAUGGUUCUGGUGGACUAUGCUUUAGGUGUCCCCUCAGCCAAACUGCAGGUCCCUAACAAAUUUAAGCCAACACGAGAUGACCGAGGUUGGUUUAUUAACCCAGUGGGUCCGAACCCCUGGUGGACUUGUAUCAUAUCGGUGAUCCCUGCUCUUCUCUGUACCAUCCUUAUCUUCAUGGACCAGCAGAUCACUGCGGUCAUCAUUAACAGGAAGGAACACAAACUUAAGAAAGGCUGUGGUUACCACCUGGAUCUGUUUGUGGUGAGUGUGAUGCUGGGUGUGUGCUCACUGAUGGGGCUGCCCUGGUUCGUGGCAGCUACAGUGCUUUCUAUCUCACACGUCAACAGCCUGAAGCUGGAGUCUGAGAGCUCAGCCCCAGGAGAGCAGCCUAAGUUUCUUGGCAUCAGAGAACAGCGGUUAACUGGCCUUAUGAUUUUUCUCCUGAUGGGAUGCUCUGUCUUCAUGACCUCCGUUCUUAAGUUUAUUCCCAUGCCUGUGCUGUAUGGAGUAUUUCUUUACAUGGGAGCAUCAUCCCUACGAGGAAUACAGUUCUUCGACAGGUUGAGGCUGUUUGGGAUGCCAGCUAAGCACCAGCCAGACUUCAUCUAUCUGAGGCAUGUUCCUCUGAGAAAGGUUCACCUGUUCACCAUCAUCCAGCUCAGCUGCUUGGUGCUCCUCUGGGUCAUUAAAACAUCUCGCGCCGCCAUUGUCUUUCCUAUGAUGGUUCUUGCUCUGGUAUUUAUCCGGAAGUUGCUGGAUUUUAUCUUCACUAAGAGAGAGAUGAGCUGGCUGGAUGACCUCAUGCCAGAAAGUAAGAAAAAGAAAAUGGAGGAUGCUGAAAAAGAGGAGGAGCAAAGUAUUCUGGCAGAAGAAGAGGGAGUAGUACAAGUGCCGUUGGAAGGACAUUACAAGGAUGAUCCUUCAUCUGUGAACAUCACAGAUGAGAUGUCUAAAGCCUCAUUUGGAAACACUUGGAAGGCUGUCAGCUCUGAUGGCUCAAAAAAGUGAAACGACCACAAAAAGCAUCAGCCUCCAUCUUAAGCUGUUUUUCUUACUCUCCUAGUUGCUGUGCACUUAAGUUUACACAGCGGCAAUAGAAGUCAAGGACAUGAAAGAAAAGAAAGCUUCAACAUAAUGACAAGCCUCUGACCUGCGUCUCCAUCACACA